GCCCGUAUAGAGUAAUAGUUAACUCGUUGGACUCCUAAGCCAAGGAUCCUGGUGCAAAUCCGGGUGCGGGUG
rnacentral:tRNA from 9 species